AAGUCGUAACAAGGUCUCCGUAGGUGAACCUGCGAGGGAUGGACAUUCAAUACAAGGAAGGUUUCCAUUGCCCCUAAACCGGGGUAGAUCUCCCCACCCCUAUGUUAUCAUUACCAUGUUGCUUUGGCGGGCCGUCGGGCCACGCUCGGCUACCGGCUCCGGCUGGUAAGCGCCCGCCAGAGGACCUCAAACCCUGAAUAUUCGUGUCGUCUGAGUACCAUAUAAUAGUUAAAA
rnacentral:misc_RNA from 1 species